UACAGAGGAGCCAAGCGUUGUCCGGAUUGACUGGGCGUAAAGCGCACGCAGGCGGCCGCGCGCGUGGGGUGUGAAAUCUGGCCGCUUAACGGCCAGGCGCCAUCCCAUACGGCGCGGCUGGAGCCCUGCAGAGGGCGGUGGAAUUGCCGGUGUAGUGGUGAAAUGCGUAGAGAUCGGCAGGAACACCCAGGGGGAAACCAGCCGCCUGGGCAUGCGCUGACGCUGAGGUGCGAGAGCGUGGGGAGCGAACCGG
rnacentral:rRNA from 1 species